AUGAUGAUGGCCACGACCAUCUCACGGUUAGUGAGGAAGAUACUUUAUUGCGGGGAGGGAAGCAGCCGCCGAUUGAGGAGGACGGCACAGGUCGCGAGCAUGGUCAUGGCCUUCAGAUUGAGGACGGCACAGGUCAAGCUCAAGCCUGGGAACGCGUCCUGUGGCCAUGCAGCGGCUCUUCUUUACCGUCUGUCACUUUGA
rnacentral:rRNA from 1 species